rnacentral:rRNA from 1 species
UACGAAGGGGGCUAGCGUUGCUCGGAAUCACUGGGCGUAAAGCGCACGUAGGCGGAUUGCUAAGUCAGGGGUGAAAUCCUGGAGCUCAACUCCAGAACUGCCUUUGAUACUGGUGAUCUCGAGUCCGGGAGAGGUGAGUGGAACUGCGAGUGUAGAGGUGAAAUUCGUAGAUAUUCGCAAGAACACCAGUGGCGAAGGCGGCUCACUGGCCCGGUACUGACGCUGAGGUGCGGAAAGCGUGGGGAGCAAACAGGG